rnacentral:lncRNA from 1 species
GUGGGUGUAAAAUAAAAGAAAAAUAUGUAUGGGUUGAUCUUAAAAGAGGUCUAGCAUUUUGAGUUUUUAUCUAAUUUCUCUCUAUUAUAUAAGCAUACAACUGAUACAAAUUGAAAUACACACAUGAAAAUUCAAAAUUAAAACAUUGGAUUAAACGGAACAGGCGUUAUCUGUAAUGAUCACGUGAUGCAGCGGAUAAGAAGUUACAAAGAAGUUUGCCAAACAAUUCAAGCUGCAGCUAUGUAUGGACUUGGAGGAGCUCUCUCUGAUAGAAGAUCUUUUGAAACUGGUACUGGUGUUGGUCCAGAUUUCGGAGGUGGCGGUGGUGAAGGUUUCGGGGCAUAAUCAUUAUAUUCAUACUUCAUAAACCACGUUUUCUGUAAACCUGCAUAUACUAUGUAAAAAUUAAACUUGAAUUAGUUGUGUGAUUAUGAAUUUAUAAAUCCUAGCGAGUAGCUAGAUCGAUUAGAUACCAGCCAACGUAUAUUUAACGAAUUUGAAAUAGUAAGAUAACAGCUAAUAAUUAUAAUUUUUUGUAAAACAUUAUAAGCUGAAUAACAAUCUCUAGAGUGUACCUUUUGAACCGAAAAGAAUCGAAAAAAUUCCUGAACUAUACUGAUCGAAUUCUUAUCAUCAAAGCAUAAUUGUAACACUUAACCAGAAAAUUAGAGUUUACCCAUGUAGUUUGGCUGUGAAAUAUAAUGUUAUAGGUACAUGCUCUCAAUGAAGCAUGAAUUAUUAGCACUAGAUUGAUCUCCAAGUGGAAAGCUUUCUGAAAGCUAGAGGUUUACAAGAACCACAUGAUAUUCAUUCAACCAAC